AGCAGCCGCGGUAAUUCCAGCUCCAAUAGCGUAUAUUAAAGUUGUUGCAGUUAAAAAGCUCGUAGUUGAAUUUCGGGGCCAGUAGGUUGGUCGUGCCACUGGUAUGCACUGGCCUUACUGGUCCCUCCCUCUUGUAGAACCGUGAUGCCAUUAAUUUGGUGUUGCGGGGAAACAGGACUGUUACUUUGAAAAAAUUAGAGUGCUUAAAGCAGGCUCGCGCUUGAAUACAUUAGCGUGGAAUAACGGAAUAGGACGAUCGAACCUAUUUUGUUGGUUUCUAGGAUCGACGUAAUGAUUAAUAGGGAUAGUUGGGGGCAUUAGUAUUCAAUUGUCAGAGGUGAAAUUCUUGGAUUUAUUGAAGACUAACUACUGUGAAAGCAUUUGCCAAGGAUGUUUUCAUUAAUCAAGAACGAAAGUUAGGGGAUCGAAGACGAUCAGAUACCGUCGUAGUCUUAACCAUAAACUAUGCCGACUAGGGAUCGGAUGAAGUUAAUUUUUUAAUGACUCA
rnacentral:rRNA from 1 species